rnacentral:rRNA from 1 species
CAUAAAUCUGUUCUCAGUUCGGAUCGCAGUCUGCAACUCGACUGCGUGAAGCUGGAAUCGCUAGUAAUCGCGGAUCAGCAUGCCGCGGUGAAUACGUUCCCGGGCCUUGUACACACCGCCCGUCACACCACGAGAGUUUGCAACACCCGAAGUCGGUGAGGUAACCUUUAUGGAGCCAGCCGCCGAAGGUGGGGCAGAUGAUUGGGGUGAAGUCGUAACAAGGUAGCCGUAUCGGAAGGUGCGGCUGGAUCACCUCCUUUCUAAGGA